UUAGAGUUUGAUCAUGGCUCAGGAUGAACGCUAGCGGCGUGCCUAAUGCAUGCAAGUCGAACGGGAUCCUUUGGAUUCUUCUGAAGGUGAGAGUGGCGAACGGGUAAGUAACACGUUGGUGACCUGCCCCAGAGAGGGGGAUAACUAUUGGAAACGAUAGCUAAUACCCCAGAUGUCAUUGUUGUUAGAGAGUAAUGACUAAAUGCUCCGGCGCUCUGGGAGGGGCCUGCGGCCCAUCAGCUAGUUGGUAGGGUAAUGGCCUACCAAGGCAAAGACGGGUAGGGGGCGUGAGAGCGUGACCCCCCACACUGGUACUGAUACACGGACCAGAUACCUACGGGUAGCAGCAGCAAGGAAUAUUGCCCAAUGGACGCAAGUCUGAGGCAGCAACGCCGCGUGGAGGAUGAAGGCCUUCGGGUUGUAAACUCCUUUUCUGGGGGAAGAGAAAGGACGGUACCCCAGGAAUAAGUCUCGGCUAACUACGUGCCAGCAGCCGCGGUAAAACGUAGGAGGCGAGCGUUAUCCGGAUUUACUGGGCGUAAAGCGCGUGCAGGCGGUUUUCUAAGUCGGACGUGAAAGCUCCCGGCUCAACUGGGAGAGGUCGUUCGAAACUAGGAAACUUGAGGAUGGUAGAGGAGAGUGGAAUUCCCGGUGUAGUGGUGAAAUGCGUAGAUAUCGGGAGGAACACCAGUGGCGAAGGCGGCCUCCUGGGCCAUUCCUGACGCUCAGACGCGAAAGCUAGGGUAGCAAACGGGAUUAGAAACCCCGGUAGUCCUAGCUGUAAACGAUGUGGACUUGGCGUUGGUGGGGUAAAAGCCAUCAGUGCCGUAGCUAACGCGGUAAGUCACCGCCUGGGGACUACGGUCGCAAGGCUAAAACUCAAAGGAAUUGACGGGGACCCGCACAAGCAGCGGAGCGUGUGGUUUAAUUCGAUGCUACGCGAAGAACCUUACCCGGGUUUGACAUACUGGUGGUAGGGAUCCGAAAGGUGACCGACCCUUCGGGGAGCCAGUACAGGUGCUGCAUGGCUGUCGUCAGCUCGUGCCGUGAGGUGUCCGGUUAAGUCCGGUAACGAGCGCAACCCUCGCCGCAUGUUAUACGUAUCAUACGGGACUGCCGGUAUAAAGCCGGAGGAAGGUGGGGAUGACGUCAAGUCAGCAUGGCCUUUAUAUCCGGGGCUACACACACGCUACAAUGGCCAGCACAAUGGGUUGCAAGACCGCGAGGUGGAGCCAAUCCCCAAAGCUGGUCUCAGUUCAGAUUGCAGGCUGCAACUCGCCUGCAUGAAGUCGGAGUUGCUAGUAACCGCAGGACAGCUAUACUGCGGUGAAUACGUUCCCGGGUCUUGUACACACCGCCCGUCACGUCAUGGAAGCUGGCAACACCUGAAGUCGGUAUCCUAACCCGCAAGGGAGGGAACUGCCAAAGGUGGGGCUGGUAACUGGGACGAAGUCGUAACAAGGUAACCAAUCACUAGU
rnacentral:rRNA from 1 species